rnacentral:rRNA from 1 species
CCUACGGGGUGCAGCAGUGAGGAAUAUUGGUCAAUGGCCGAGAGGCUGAACCAGCCAAGUCGCGUGAGGGAAGACGGCCCUACGGGUUGUAAACCUCUUUUGUCGGGGAGCAAAGCGAGUCACGUGUGACUCAUUGAGAGUACCCGAAGAAAAAGCAUCGGCUAACUCCGUGCCAGCAGCCGCGGUAAUACGGAGGAUGCGAGCGUUAUCCGGAUUUAUUGGGUUAAAAGGGUGCGCAGGCGGAGGUGCAAGUCAGCGGUCAAAUUGCGGGGCUCAACCCCGUACUGCCGUUGAAACUGCAGCCCUUGAGUGCGCGAGAAGUAUGCGGAAUGCGUGGUGUAGCGGUGAAAUGCAUAGAUAUCACGCAGAACUCCGAUUGCGAAGGCAGCAUACCGGAGCGCAACUGACGCUCAUGCACGAAAGCGUGGGUAUCGAACAGGAUUAGAUACCCGAGUAGUC